CCAGGAAGUGGUUGUGAAUGGACCGACUCUCGCGGGGAUGUGUGGGCAUAAGAACACCUGCCACCGCCUGUUCCUCAACCAUCCAGCCGCGUCCAGAGGGAGAAGAAGACAGAAAGUGAGAGAGAGAGACCAGGGCCGCCACGCGAUAGACUGGGCGUUCGCGUCACUGGUGAUCUGAGUCCGGGUCGGGGUGCGCAGCGGAAGCGGGGUGGUGCCACUCGCGGGCGCAACGGAAAGAGCCGGGCGUCGCAGUGGCGAGAAUUGCUCACCCGAGCCUUUGCCACCGCUGGAACCGAACUCCGCCGCGACGGGGCUGCCCACGUUCCAAUAGUCGGU
rnacentral:lncRNA from 7 species